rnacentral:tRNA from 1 species
AUUUAUAUAGUUUAAAAAAAACAAUACAUUUUCAAUGUAUAGAUAAAAUUUUUUAUAAAUG